GAGUCAGACCUGCGGCAACUAGGCAAGCUGCAGCCGCGAGGUAGAAGCUCUCUCUGACCCUUUUACCUUAAUGGUUCGUACCCGCGGGAAAUAAAGUUGGAAAACUGCAAGCGAUUUCCGAUCUACGGCUUCUUCCAGCUCCUCAGAUUUAUCUUACCGUCCCCCCCGCGAAUCCUCUCAAGAUCCCACCGAGAGAUGGAUUCGAAGACUCUCCCCUCCUUCCGCUGCUGGAUUCUGGCCCGUGCCCCGUCUCUCUCCACCCCAGCGGCUUCCCGAGUGAUUCUCCAAGGGCAAAUGAAUUUUGACCAGGAAGACAGUGAAGAAAUUUCAUAAAAGUGAAAUACUAAUUGGAAGCUCCUAUCGGCAUUGGUUGAUCUGACAAGUUGUGUGUAUAGAAACUAGCCUAUAUGGAGACACGAAUGUCAAAAGAAGUUUUACCGAUGAUAGAAAUAUGAGAGGAUCAUUAUGUAUUCUUCAAGAAAAAGAAAUAUGGCAAAGGAUAGUAAAGGUAAUACUGCCAAAAAUAUCCAGAUUGUAUUGAAGAAAAUUGUGAAAAAAAGGACCAGAGUCAAAGUUAUUUUUCUAGGAGGAGAAGAACACAUUGCAGAACAGAAGAUGGCAAAUAAAUGCUUUUCCAUGAAAGAGGCACAGAUUGCUUCUACUUACCAAAGCAAGUCACAUGGCCAUGCCUCACCAAGGAGUUAAGAAAGCAGAGUCCUCCCAAGGAAGCAUGUGUCCAGGAAAGAACUGUAUAUUGUUGACUAGCAACAAUGUCUGACACCUUGACUUAAACUUUACGUUACAAAUUUCUGAUCACAUUAGCUAUAACCUUUUGAAACUUACCAAUAGGCUGGCCACAGUGGCCCACACCUGUAAUCCCAGCACUUUGGGAGGCUGAGGAGGGCAGAUCAUGAGGUGAGGAGAUUGAGACCAUCCUGGCUAACACUGUGAAAUCCCGUCUCUACUAAAAAUACAAAAAAAUUUCCGGGUGUGGUGGCGUGCGCUUGUAGUUCCAGCUACUUGGGAGGCUGAAGCAGAAGAAUCACUUGAACCUGGGAGGCAGAGGUUGCAGUGACCCGAGGCCGCACCACUGCACUCCAGCCUGGGUGACAGAGUGAGACUCCUUCUCAAAAAAAAAAAAAAAAAAAAAACGGAAAAAAAAAAG
ensembl:lncRNA novel transcript